UAGGGAAUCUUCCACAAUGGACGCAAGUCUGAUGGAGCAACGCCGCGCGAGUGAAGAAGGUCUUCGGAUCGUAAAACUCUGUUGUUAGAGAAGAACACGAGUGAGAGUAACUGUUCAUUCGAUGACGGUAUCUAACCAGCAAGUCACGGCUAACUACGUGCAG
rnacentral:rRNA from 1 species